GGAGGGUUGGCCGAGUGGACGAAGGCGGGUGAUUUGAAAUCACUUGAGGGGUUAACAGCCCUCGCAGGGUUGAAUCCCUCUGCCCUCUC
rnacentral:tRNA from 1 species